AACAGCAUUAGCAGACGUAUUUCGACUUAUGAGUAAAUUACAAGAAACGUGUCAACAAUCGCACAACUUACCUACACCUUAUGUCCCGCAUGUGCAGGAUGUGAGUCGU